GUGGCCCAGCAGCAGUGUGGAGGGAAACUCCCCACCCCACCCCCCAUGCACAUUCAGACACCACACCGCCAUCCCUGAAACACACACACUGUGUACUCUGGGACAGGUUCUUCACUAGCUCAGACCAUCUAGAGGGAAGAGCCCAAGCCUCUAUUCCAGGACCCAGACCCAGUGGCAUUUCCUCAGGAAGAGCAUAUGGCCAGGGCGCUCCUGGGUCCCUGCCUAACUGGCUGAGAGUCUGAGCAGCCCUGGGUCACACCCUCUCUUCCAUCUGGGCGCCUUCAUUCCUCACUGAAGGCUGACCAGUGCUUCCAAUGGUCACUGAGCCUUUUCAGUUAGGCUGCAGGAGCCUGCAGGGCUGUAUGGGCCUGACAUUCUACUGCCACCAAGUACACCACCCGAGAUGCACGUGGGCACAGGCAUGUGCACAGCCCUCAUUUCAGCAGGAUCUCAUUAUGUUUGUUGUCUUGAAUUUGUGACCAUCCUGCCUCAGCCUCCCAAGUACACAGGAUCAUAAACCUUUAUUCCAACCAACUGGCUUGGAAUAAAGCACUGGAUACUCAUGCUCAUUCUGACAAGACCUUGAGCGCUCGGCCAGCACUGACACACCCACGGUCACCUCAGACAGUGGGUCCUCAGCGGCCCGCAUCAGCACAAUCUGAAUGACGCGGCCUUCGUAGAUGUGGGCAUCGAAUGUUGACUUCCACUCGGGAUACAUGGUGGGCUUCUUCUGGACCAGAGUCUUCCCUCGCUCUGCAAUAGGAAGUCAGGCUAGGACUCCUAAGUCCUUCCUCCCUCCUUACCCCUCACUGCCACACGACCUACCCUCCGUCCAGUCCCGAGGCCCUGCUACGGCUCUCCAGCAUCCCGCGGAGCACCCGGCAGCCUCCCGUGUCUUAGGGUGCUCUGUGAACACAUGUGAGAGCGGCCACAUGCCAGCCUUGGACUGGUUGGCAAGGAACAUGGCCUGGCCCUGUCUCAAGUGCCAGACAGAGACACGAACCACUGUAUUCCUCAGCACAGAAAGGCUGGCUUUCGUCCUCUGUCUGCAGGGAGCCCAGCUCAUAGGAAUUGAAGGAGAUGCGCAGGAACGGCGCCAUGGUGAAGCCUGCGGAGGAUUGUGCACAUGAAGGGAUGAAGCGAGGCAGGGGCGCAGAGGCAGUGGAGACCGCUGCCGGCCCCACUCGUCACGGAGCUCACACCACGGGAACUGCCCCACGUGGUACACCAAACGCACUAGUCUCUGGUGCCAAUGGGGAAAGCUGGGCAGCCUGACAUAAGUCUGGACUUGAGACACCGCUGGUAAAACUAAAAGAUGGAAACCAGACUUGCUGAGCGACAGCCACUGUGCUGGCUGCUCUUUUGUCUACCAGGUCAGGGUACUGUCCCCAUUCCUGAACUGGACCCUGGAGGCAUAUGAAUUGUGAUCCUGAGGCAAUAAUUUGGGGAAGUCACUCAGUGCCCCUCUCAUGGCCAAUUACUGACCGCCUAAGCAUGCCAGAGACCUAGUAUGUGCAACUGCCCUCUUCUCUACUGGCUUGUGAAGCCCCUCUGGAUUCUCGGUCGCUCAUAACCACCUAUGCAGAGAAGCAUGGCGAACUGAGUCCUGUUUUAUCAGCCAAAGAACCCACUCUUUAGAUGGGCAAACUGAGACUCAGGCUGAGCCAGAUGGAAGGCUAGAGCUCUGCUAACUCUGCCCUGACUUUGUUCAACACACCCCACCCUCCUGAACACAAGCCCCUCAGGGUCACAUGUCUCCUACCUAUUUAGAUUUCCUGUCCUUUCAAACUGAGAAUGGAGGCAGGGACCAAGAUCCUUUCCAGGCAGAUAAGGAGGUGUGAAAGAAACACAGUGGAGGGAUAUGAAAAGGGGGUGCAGUUUCACAUUUUUCUCCAAAUAUAAAACUGUAUUUUAA